UUUUUGAGAAUUUGAUCCUAGUUCAGGAUGAAUGCUAGCGGCGUGCCUAAGGUAUGCAAGUCGAACGAUUUAUUUGUUCCAACGCAAGGCGGAACUUUUAAGUAGUGGCGAACGGCUGAGUAACACGUAGGAAUCUACCCCCAACCCGGAAAUAAUUCGCCGAAAGGCGGACUAAUGUCCGAUGUGAAGGAAACUUCAAAGGUUGCACUGUUUUUGGUUUAAGUUUUUCUUAAACCUAAAGCAGUAAUCCACAAGAAACUUGUUUUUUGUGGUAAUCGGUUAGGGAUGAGCCUGCGGCCUAUCAGUUAGUUGGUGGGGUAAUUGCCUACCAAGACUAUGACGGGUAUCUGGUCUGAGAGGAUGUCCAGACAGAGGGGCACUGAGACACGGGCCUCACUCCUACGGGAGGCAGCAAUCGGGAAUUUUGCACAAUGGACGAAAGUCUGAUGCAGCGACGCCGCGUGAAGGAUGAAGGCCUUCGGGUUGUAAACUUCUUUGAUGAGGGACGAAU
rnacentral:rRNA from 1 species